CCUACGGGAGGCAGCAGUGAGGAAUAUUGGUCAAUGGACGAGAGUCUGAACCAGCCAAGUAGCGUGAAGGAUGACUGUCCUAUGGGUUGUAAACCUCUUUUGUCAAGGAAUAAAGCGAGGCACGUGUGCCUGUUUGCGUGUACCUUAUGAAUAAGCAUCGGCUAACUCCGUGCCAGCAGCCGCGGUAAUACGGAGGAUCCGAGCGUUAUCCGGAUUUAUUGGGUUUAAAGGGUGCGCAGGUGGGUUGUGAAGUCAGCGGUAAAAGUUUGGGGCUAAACCCUAAACAGCGGGUGAAACUGGUGGUAUUGAGUGGGCGAGAAGUAUGCGGAAGGCGAGGUGUAGCGGUGAAAUGCAGAGAGAUCACGCAGAA
rnacentral:rRNA from 1 species